rnacentral:rRNA from 1 species
UCAUUGGAGAGUUUGAUCCUGGCUCAGGACGAACGCUGGCGGCGUGCCUAAUACAUGCAAGUCGAGCGAAUCAAGAGGAGCUUGCUCCUCGAGAUGAGCGGCGGACGGGUGAGUAACACGUGG